UGGAAACCUGAGCCGGCAUGACGGGAGAAAGGACAGUAUGGCGCCGUUUGGAGGGUAAUUAACGAUAAUUAACGAUGCUGGCAGUGAGGGAAAUAUUUGGCGCGAAUGUCGGUGAGUUCGUGAAGCUUCGUGUGCUGCCAUCCACCUUCCACUCCAGUCCUGGAAACCUCCACCUGUCCUGGUCCUUUAACCUCCUCUAAACGGUCUGGUUCUUGUCUCCUCGUGGAAAUGUCGUGACUGCCUUCACAUCAGUCAGGUAAGAGUCUGUUUUGUGUGUUUUUCUCUGUUUGAAGGCCCUGUUUGAAAGUUUGUUUGCUAGCUGCUAGCAUGCUCCCUCCUCUUGCUAACACCUGUUAGCCUCUUUCCUGUUGCUGCACACCUCUGCUUGUUUGUGUUGUUUUUUUCUGGUUUUGUGCAGCUCUUUACCUCCAUGUUGUCUGCUUCUUUGUGUUGUUUAUUUGGAGUUGUGCAGCUCUUUACCUCCAUGUUGUCUGCUUGUUUGUGUUAUUUUUCUAAAGUUGUGUAGUUCUUUACCUCCAUGUUGUCUGCUUGUUUGUGUUAUUUUUCUAAAGUUGUGUAGCUCUUUACCUCCAUGUUGUCUGCUUGUUUGUGUUAUUUUUCUAAAGUUGUGUAGUUCUUUACCUCCAUGUUGUCUACUUGUUUUGUUGUUUUUCUGGAGUUGUGUAGCUCUUUACCUCCAUGUUGUCUGCUUGUUUGUGUUGUUUUUUUCCGGUUUUGUGCAGCUCUUUUCCUCCAUGUUGUCUGCUGGUUUGUGUUGUUUUUUUCUGGUUUUGUGCAGCUCUUUUCCUCCAUGUUGUCUGCUUGUUUGUGUUGUUUUUCUGGUUUUGUGCAGCUCUUUUCCUCCAUGUUGUCUGCUUGUUUGUGUUGUGCUGAAUGUGUGUGGGCAGGCUGCAGUUUGAUGUUGUUGUCUGGGUCGGGUUUGCAGCAUUUCUCCCUGCUGUUUUUCUGCUGCUUUUGUCAUGUUGGUGUGUUUUUUUAUUUCACAGCUGACUGUAAACAUCUGUGCUGUUGUGGGUUGCUCAUCCACAUGUGAACAUCUUUGUUGUCUGUUGCCGUUGCUCACACACCGGUAUGUUUUUUAUUCCUUAGAUUUCUGCUUGAUGAAAAAGUCAAGCUGGCUCUCACACAGAGGGAGGCGUUGAGUCACAUAUUUACCUGCUACAUUUCAUGUCAAAACACCGAGUUUAUUUGGCAGCUCGACUUUCUUUAUUCCUGAUAUCAUUAACAAAGUGCUCUGAAGUUAACAGCUGCUUAAAUCCAUGCAAACCUGCAGAUACAGUCCAAACAAAACAACUUUAUUCAUAUCAUGAGGAGCAGUUUAUUUAACCCUCACAACUCCAAGAUAGAUUUUGCUAUUUUUGGUCCGCCUGGGUUUCAUGUAAAAAUCUACAUCUGUCUAUAAAAUAUAAACACAUCUUUCUUUUCAGGACAACCUCAUCUGUCAGUUCAUGGAGCUAAAAUGAUGUAAAAUGAAUGUGACAGUAGAUUCAGUCAACCAAAAAACAAAAACUGAAAUUGAGACCAACAGUACUUUGCUCAAAAAACACAUAAAUCUACAGUGACCAAGCCUUUUCUCACCUGCACAUCAUUCUCUCAAGUCUUGGCUAUCAGGAGAAGAAAUAUUGGGAUUGGAACAAACACACAACAGAAACUAUUUACGUAUUUACACUCAUUCUUCCAGGCGUUUUUUACUAUUUACAGUUGUUUAUUAGGGCCCGACCGAUUUAUCGGCGAGCCAUUUAAAUAGUCAAAUUUUAGCCUGUUUGAGACUUAUCGGUAAUCGGUCAAAACUACUGCUCAGAAUCUCUUCUUUGCUUGUUUCCAAGCAUUGAGGACCAUUAUUUCUUAUUUUGCAGACAAGCAGGGAACUUUCUUGUCUCUUGUUGAUCUUUGGUUUUCUCUUACUGGACACUACCGUCAAGGGAACGAUGGAAGAAGAAUAGGAGACCAUAUAAUUGGUCGAAAGUUUGACAGAAAAAGACGUCAUCAAAACAGCUUGAAGACAUUAGAGGAAUUUAGCGAUAGCGGUCUUUUUUUAAUCACAACAAUCUGAUAAAGAAUCAUGUUUUCAGCGGUUUAUCACUGCAGAUUUACCAUCAAUCGUCUCUGAUCAAACACCUUUAUUUGUGGCUGGUUUGUAAACCUUGUGGCAGGUGUAGAAAUGUCUGUAAACCCUCGAUAGAUCGCCAAAAGGGUAAACUUUUGAACACUUUUUAUCCCACAGAGAUACACGGUAUAGUUCCUGAGAAACUGUAAACUAUAUUUAUGGUGACACGUGGGAUCACCGGCGAUCCAGCAGAGAUCUAAGAAGCUGAAACACUGACAUGCAAACAGUAUGUGAGCUUAAUUCGAUAAGAGAGGUUAAAGGGGAAACGGUCAACUACCUCAUAAAUAUUCCUGACAGUCUAAUGCAAAAGUGAAAUCUUGUGGCGCGUUAAGCAGGUGAGUCAAAGAGGUGAUUUACAGGCAGGUAAAAGUUAAUGACAGAUUAGGAAAAAUUAUCCUCAGAAGGAGACGUUUUAUUUUUAUGGAAGAUUUACCCGUUGUAAAAGGAUUUCACAUCUUUUCGAUGGCAGCUAAGGUUGUCUCUGCACAGAUUUUAACAACACUGCUCGGAGUGUUUCUAAGCUUUUACUGCGAUGUCGUGAAACCCAGAGAUGAAAUAAAAACUCUGGAGGAUCUCAAUAAAAGACGGGGACAAACAGCAGAGGACGAUGGCGCAGCCUGCAGAGACGGAGUACAGUUAAGGAGGCUGUGAAUGUUCAGGCUCAUGUUCGCUUCAGUUCGAUAUGUGUAAAUGCUGCUCGGGUGAUUGUAUGCCGUUACCGUGCUUUUGUGAGUGUGAUGCUUUAUUUUAUUGCAGAGAUUGCAAACAAAUCGAGCACCAGUUUCUGAGUAAGUUCUCUGCCUUUCAGGAAGAGACUCAGACUCCUGCUCUUAAAUCUGCUCAGAGUCGCUGACUUUGUGUGUAACUGUAAGCUUUAAUCUGCAGCUGUACAUUUAUACGUCUUUUCUGUUAGGGUCAGCACUGAUUCACUCCGAAGUGUGGUCUAAUAUUAAUAUUUAUCAUGCAGCUCUGUUUAAUCUGGCUGCAGGUGAAGCUUCUGAUCACCACUCCUCAGUCUGAGCCGCGCUGAGCUUUGUGGGUGUUUGCUGACAGUGAAAAUGUCAGAACUUAGAUGUCAAAUAUCCACCCUACAAUUCUCUGUCUUCAAAUAAUAACUCUGAUCUGUGUGAGCCGGCUGACUGGAAUGCUAGACGGCUCUUAGGAUCAGAAACUGUCACUAUUUCGACAGUUUAUUGCUCCCUCUAUGGCCUCACCUUGGCCUCAAGUGGGCCGCAGUUUUAUUUUCUAAAACCUCCACGAUGAAAAAAUUAUCAAAAUUAUUACCAACCACAGAUUUUCAGCUCUUCUUUAUUAAUUUUACUGUUUUUUUUUUUCCAUUUUAAAACAUUUUUUCGUCUUUUAACACGUGAGCACCAGAAAUCAGAUUUUCUCACGUUAUCAUUCGGAGGCUCAACAAGCAGAGAGUGGACUGUGAUAAAGAUACAACAUAAGAGUAAAAUAUACUCUGUUAUGACUUCUUUUGUAUGUGCUCACCUAUAUUAAAUUACUAUAAUACAACUCUCAUGUGAAAACUCAGAUAACUGCGUCUUGUUUAGGUCUCCUCCUGUUAUUCACAGCAUGUGGAGUCAUUGCUCAUGUAUUAUAUUAUAGUGUGCACAAAAAUUCAGAGCAGAUCAUGUCAGAAAAGGAGCAUAAAAACAGAGAGAGAGAGGUCAGAGUCAUGUCCGCUUGUCUCUUUAUUGUCAUAAAACACUUUGGCCCUGGUUAAUUUUAAAAACGGAGACAUCAACCAUCUUUUGCACCCUCCGUUUGGACGCAAACACAGAAUUCGCUCCUGAAAACGAUGCUUUUUAAAAAGAUUUUGGAAAACUCCAUUUGCAUGUUUGGGUAGCUGAUGGCAGAUUGUGCGCAAGAAAGAAAGAAAGAAGUGACGUUGUUGUUGUCGCUAUACGGGAUUCUGAUUGGCUAAUGUGGGCUUGAGCUUCUUGCUAUACUGCCACCUACAGGUUUGGCAUGCUCUUGACAGCAUAUAAACACGGGUUGGUGUAAACAAAAACUUUUCUGAAAACACAGUUUUUUUUUUGUAAACGUAGUCUUAGACUCAUUAAGCACAUCAUCAAAAAGCUCAAUGCUGAUAAAAACAGACACUUUUAGCAUCUGUCCUAGUUUUUGCUCAGAUUUUUGUUCACUUAGAUAAUAAAAAAAAACAUAAAAACAGUUAAGAUUAAAUAAAUAAUAGAUUACAGUAGGUUAAAGAUAUGAUUUUUGUCCAUGAGAGGGGUGUGUUUGAGUCCUCAUAUCAGCUGCGGUGGCAUUUUAACACUUACAUCAUGAUUCAGAGGAGAUUUAAAUAUGAUGUUUAGCAUUAUUGCUGAUUUUAAAUAGAGGAGAUUGAAAUGGAAAUCCUUGAAAGGAAAUCUAAAGUGUUCAGCUGUUGUUAAACUGAACAGCAGGCUCUCCUUUGACUCUGAGGUCAGCGCUCUGGAUUAUUCGCCGUCCUCGGUCCAGUGAAUUUUUAGAGAGCGUGUUUUAAAUGAAGUGCACACUCUCACAGUCACGUUCCUCCAAAAAAAAACCCAGCUCCUAGAUUACUGCGCACAUACUAAUGACUGAAAUUUGUCUGGUUCUUCAGCUGCUUCCAUGAACCCCUUGUUAAAUCUCCUCCGCUGCCUGAGAGAUGAGUGUUUACUCGGUAUUCUUGCUGCACAGCCCCAUUUGAACAACAAGGUCAAUGCUCAUUUGCAUUUCGCCGCACACAGUGUAGUCCAUUAAUAUUGUUAUUAAGUUGCCUACAUCAGAUCUCGAGGUGGAGGUGUUCUCCGUGUCCUAUUUUACUCAAUACCUCUGAUAUAUUUCUAAUUUCAGGAGAAGAGCUUAUCUUCGGUCGCUUUUUUCCGCUAACAUAAUCACUUUUGUUUAAUUACUUACAUUUUAAUGGAGCUUCAACCUUUUUAAAAAAUCAUCAUACUGUAAGUACAAAAGAAAGAGAUCCAUCUUUGAAUGUUUUAGUCCUCUCUGGAGCUUCUUCACCUGUGUUAUACUUUAGCAACAAGGCCACAGACACAUCCGGAAUAAAUAUUUUACUCCUAUAAAUAAUUCUAUUUGUUUCUUCAGCCUGUGAGGAGCUGCUGCUGCUGCUGCUGCUCGCUACUUUACAGGCUCCGUCUGUAGGCCUUUGUCACACGCCCUGAAUAGUAUGUGUGCGCUCCCUCCGACUGCACUUCCAGUUUAGAGUGCAAAGUCAACACGGAGAAAACAGCCGGCUUAUGGUGCAGGAAAUGUUGGAAUUUUAUAUUACCCUGAGGGUUUUCCUCCUUGUUUAUUUGGCUUCAGUUUCUAUAAUGUGCCCAUUAAAGUAGUUCAUCACACUGAAUACUAAUUUAAAUGCAGAGGAAGUUGGCCCCCGUAAUGGUAAAUCAACACGAAAAUCAUAUUUUCUUUGCCGUUACUGAAUUAAUUAGAAAGGUAAUGUAUUAGUGGAGGAAGCAGGACGGGGUUUACCAUCAGGACCGUGUUUGACAUUCUGUUCGCCGCUUCGCCUUUUUGUUUCCAGCCUCAUUGUGUUCGAGCUUUUCAUGUGGGCGCUGUGGGCAGUGUUUUGGGCGUGCCUCAGGGACCCGCUCCGGUCCCCAUUUCCCUCUGUGGUUGACGGUACUAAUGAGGCAGUUUGUUCUGACUCCGGCGAAUAAUAGCAUUAAUCUUUACGGAGUUAAAUGCUGUACUUCCUUUUCUCAGAGGAGUCGUUGGAGGAACGAACCAGACUCCUGGAUUCAGAUGGAAAACUGUAAAGUGAGGUCAUCUGUUGAUACGAGUCGACAGAAGGAAACGGGUUAUGACAUUUAUCUGGCUGCAGGCGGGUUUCUCCGAGAUCUCGAGGCCCUGAUGGCAAAGGCACCAUGACACCUCAUUUAUAAUCUAUAUUUAUAAUCUACUGCGACAACCAUCAUCGGCUCUUAAAUAGCUUAAAACCUCAUGUAUCAUUACGUCAAAUCAGCUCUCAGUGCGGUUAGUUUUCUCUCAUAUCGGCUGGAAAAUCAUCCGUCAAAAAUCCGUCAUAUUUUGAAAAUCAAUCCUGAGGUUUUUCAGCCGUCACAGGUCGUAUUUCUGAGACGUCUGACGGCGUGAACAUCAUCAGGCGCUUCUUCUCUGAUCAGAAAUCUUCAGGAGGGAUAUCCAGAAGUAGGACGAACAUUUCAGAAAACAAAAACGUCUUUUUGUGAAAAGAUUAUUCGCAGAAUUCAGCUUCUACAUUCUUAAUGCUACACCGUCUGUGUGUUUAGAGGCUUGUCAAUUCUAUUAUUUAGCGCCAGACUUCAGCAAAGCCCCUCCUGGAUGUGAGUUUUGAUGUACGGGACGCUGUUGUUGUAAACACCAUACAAAGUCAUCGGUACAAACAUGCUGCCGUCGCUCCUGUUCUGUCCUCAGAGAUGCAUUAUGGGUAGAAAAGUAAUAAAACAGCACAGCCCUCCUGAUUUCAACUUCAACUCAAGUUUGUGAAGCAGCUUUGUGACGCUUUCUGAGGCGAAUAAUAAAACCUAUCGCAGAGCGGUAUCCUGAUGAUAUCUCCUCGAAUCAGAAACUCUCUGAAGACGGAAGAAAGCGCCUGACUGACGUCCCUCUCGGCAUCACUUAAAAGAGGGAUCACUCAUUUACAGAUCGCUCCGUUUACAGCAGCAACCUCCGAACAGCCGGUUAAGCUUUAAAGCUGCAACGUUCGACAGUCAGACGUCAGAUGUUUUUGACCUUUUUUCUUUGUUUUGUGCUAAAUUCAAGUUCAGAGAGGAGUCAGCAUCUCGGCAAAUAACAGUCGGGGUGGGAGAAAGCGGAACAACCUGCCAGCGUUAAGCCGCUCCACAAAUAACUCCCAUUGUCUCACUAAUUACAAUGGCUGUGCCACAACCUUCAGAACAAAACAUAUAUAUUUAACCGAGCUGAUGCCUUCGUUUUGGCAGACGGGGGAUAAGCUGAGCUGAAAUAGAUGUCCUGCUUAGAAAUACCUCGUGUCAACAGCGGUGGAUCAGUCUAAUACAGUCGAGUGGGUGUUUGAGGUUCAAAUUCACUAAUCCCAAAAACUCAAGAAGCUAAAUUUGUAGAGUAUGAAAAUAUCGCAGCUUUAAAGUGUUUAUUCUGUGAAAUACUAACAGGCUACUCCCCGGUCUUGACAAAUGAAGCAAAGUGCUAAAAACUGCAGUUCCCUGAGUGUCCACCUGAGGGAGAAAUCAUAAAAAGUUGUGUUUUAAAGUUUAUUUAGAGCUCGGAUGGCAGCCAAAAAAGCUGUUAGUGACUUUUUUAAAGAAAAGCUGAAAAAAAAAAAGAUUAUUUAAAGAAACAAACUUUAAGACAAUCUGGAAGUGGUUUGCAGCAUUAAACCACGUUUGAGUUUUGUUUGUAUAACUCAUUUUCAUGUCACUAAAGAACUGUAAGCAGGUUAAAUCACUUCUUCUGUACUUUAAACAGCGUAAAAGAAAAGUUCAGUGAGUUCCUGAUGAAAGAAAAAAGAGCCUUUGGAUAGAGUACAAGAACAGAGACCCGACCACGACUUCUGCUCCCUGAUUUUUGUGCACCGCUACACUCAAAAGCUUCCCUUCAGGUGACAUUUGUUAUUUUACAAUCUGUGUGAAUUACAGGGUUAUUUCUCUUUCUCAGUAUUUCUAAGAUAAUUCAGAUUUCACCCUGACAACCCGGACUUCUUGUCUCUGUUUGGGUGAAACUUUUAUUCCCUACGAUGCUAAAGCCCAGCGGUCACAGCUGUUAACUUCAAGUUCAUAGAUUAUUGAGCCGUUUUGGGGGUACUUGAACAAUUUGUUGUACUAUAAUUUCCAUAAAAAUGUCCUCUGACGAGUUGAAACACAUGAAAAUAUAAAAACAUCCAAAAGUAUCUGAGCAGCACAGAUUCGUGUGUGUUUGAAAAUCCUCAAACUGAACUCGCAUGAAGUCUCAGGUGUGGUUGCGUAACAACCGCAGCAGAAGUGGAGCUCGGUUCAUUGACAGCUGAGGGUCACAAAUAAUGGUGCGAGCGCUGACAAGCAUCAUGGGAAAUGAGCGAUAAACCUGGAGAGGAAAUUAAAAAUUAAGUACACGCUGUGCCAGAACUCCAGCAUGCUGUUGUUCACGGCUGAUAUUAAAGAUGAUUUUAUUACGACUGAAGGGAUUUUAAAGGUUAUUUUAAUCACAUAUCUCUCUCCUCAUAUCCACCUUUUUGUCAGAGGAGCGUUUUCUUAUCUUAAAUCGACCGUCUGUCUGUUAAAGUGGAAUAGUGAGAUAUUCGGGGAGCUGUCCUUGGUGCUGAAGUUCCACACUGAUAGCUGCCACCGCUGUGAUCGUUCUAACAGUCAAAUAUUGGUUAUUAUAGUUCAGGUUUUUAAGAACAGCUGCCUCCAGAAAACCGUGAAGGAGAGAAAUGGAAAUGUAGGAAAUAAUAAAACACUUUCUGUUUUUCUGUCAAACAUGUGCUGACAUUUACAGAACAAAGAUCUCUGAGUGGAGCGGCUGUAUCCAUGAUGGUCAGUUUAUUGACCAACGUAGCAGCACUCGGGAUGGACAGAAUCGCCUUUUCUUGAGUAAUUUUCUCGUGUUGACCUGAGAGGAGCGGCUCAAACUCUGAGCUGUGUUUUACUAUCGAUGAUUGACAAGGCUCUCCUUCUCUGAAAAGGUCACCCAAUUGCUUUAAAGGAUACUUAGUGUCUCCUCUGCUGCUUUUUCUGCACUCGAGUCGAGAGGUUCUUCUGGAGGAGGCAGGGAUCCACUUUUUGAAGGGUCAGGACUGAUCCCAGACCCCCGGUUUUCUUGAUAAAACAAUCUCUGUCAAGACUUGUAGUUUGACAGAUGUCACAGUUUUGUUUGAGCAGGGUCAGUAAUGAGAGAGUGUAUGCAUUGGUUCAUCAGAGGUUUGGCAUGUUAAAGGCAAGAGUCCUACACAGUUGUAAUUUCCAUACUUUUCCAUACUCUACUUUUCAGAAAAAUUUUUGGAAAUCCCGACUUUCCUAUUUUAAGAAAACUGUAUUUUAGAACUGUGGUAAUAGUCUGGAAACAUGGAUAAUUUUACAUACUUUAUUUCUCAUUUACCAUACUUUUUAAGACCUGGAAGUUGAUCAAACUACUUCCAUACUUUUCCAUACUUGCAUUGGAACCCUGAAGGUGUAUUAUGUGGAAUUUAGCUGCAUUCAGUAUUAUGUAGAAGAACAUUUGUAUGGAGUCAAAAUGAGGCCAUGAAGCAUUGCAUAUGCAAGAGAGGUAUUAUUAGGGAUGGGAAUCAAGAACCGGUUCCAAAUGGUUCAAUCCAUCGACAUCGUUUACUUUUCAUUUGAAUGAUUCCCUGAACGAUUCCUUUGUCCCGGGUGCUUUGGAAAACGGUCUUGUGAGAGGCAGUCUACUUAAACAAGAACAAAGACAACGAGUCUUGUAUGGGAGUUUUGAGUUUGUGUAGCGUGGACUAACUGAGUCAGAAGCGCGUAAAAAACACUCGACCCGACCACAAAAACCCUCAAAAUUUUGUGCACAACUCGCCCGUCAAACCCCGCCCCCAUAUCAAAGAGAGGCCAGAAUGUUUUGUAAAUGGGGAAAAAAAAGUUCUGUCAAUGAAAAAAAUACUUUUUUUUUUUAAUUCAGUGAUCAAUAUAUCUAUUCUUUUACAACUCUUCACUAAAGUUCACAAUUAUUAUUUUUUGUUAACAAUACCUCACUUAAGUUUAAAAUACUUCCUGGCCUCAUUUUGACUCCAUACUUUUUUAUUAAUCUGUACUGAAUAAAUAUUCUCAUAUUUAAAUUUCAGUUAUUUAGGUAAAGUCUUUUAAUCAUAGAAGCAGGUCCUCACUCUUGUAAAGCUAAAGUUAUUUCUCUACAGACGCAGGUGAUUUUAUAGGAUGACGCCAUCUUUAGUCAGUCGUUUUCGUUGUUUCAGUGAGGCGAGAGGUUGGCGAAGGUUGGCGAGUUCAUUCUCAAAUCUUACCGCCAGAUCUUGAUAAGUAUUUUCAUUCUACCUCAAACGAGCUUUCCUGUCACACUAUUUGGUCAUCUACUCUUCUAAAUCAUGACUAUAUUAUAUUUCUAUCACUUGUUAUAAUCAUAGUCAUAUUUAAUGAGCAGAAUAGUGAAGCUGCUGCUAUAAGUGGUGAAAUAAAUGCUCUAAUUAUCGAUAAAGACAGGUUUGAUUUAUUGAUUGACAUAUUAGUAAGUCAAACAUAUUUUCCUGGAUAAUUCAUUGAAUAAAAUAAUCAAUUUCGUCAAAUUAGGAGACAAGCUGCCAAAAUUCUGUCACAGUCUUAACAAACACUCCUGAGCAAAUAUCAAAAUAGAGCCGUCACUUAAAACGUCCUUUUUUCUGAGUGUUUGAUAUCUCUUAAUUAUUUCACUGACACCUCAAGAACCAGAUAUGAGGCCUGCAGACAGAACAUCAUUAGUUUUUUUUUUUUUUUAAUUCUAAAUGACCUCAAAUAUUUGCUUCGAGGCAAUAUUUAACAAUGUCAGAGCUGGUUAUCUUCAUUUUUCCUCACAUGUAACUGUAAUGAGGCCCAUCAGACUCAGAGCGAAAAGGAAAAAAAAAGAAAAUCGGAGAACACAAAGAGAAAAAAAACCUUUCUUUAAUGAGACAGAGUGGUAGCUUAGAAACAUCGACCUGUGCCCAAGACCACAAGGCUGCUAUGACAGGAGAAAUACUUUGACUAUUAAUAGCAGAGACUGAAAUGGACCCUUAUACUUCUCUUAUAUAACACAAGCUGUUCUCUCCAACACUGGUGAAAAAAAUAAACACUCCUGAAGACGGAGAACGAACACCACAUUUUGUUCUUGUAUCUCAUAUUCUCAUUUAAGACAUGAUUGACAAUAGGGCUGCACAAUUAAUUGAUUUUAAAUCAUAAUCAGAUUUUUUUUUAUUAUGAAAAAUUGAAAAAUUAAAAUUGUCAAAUCAGUUUUCCUCUCUAUUAGGCAUGUGCCGAUAUGAAAAAAUUGAUAUCAUAUAUUGGUGGCCAAAAAUAUCACGAUUCACGAUAUUAUCACGAUAUUAUCACGAUAUUAGCGCAUUGCUUUUGACGUUAUUAAAAAUGGCAAAAAAACUGUGAAAUCACUUCUCUGUGCGCUGCAUGACACGCACAAAAUAUAUGAGCAAGAGGCAGCUAACGCGACGUUGGGAGCAUUAGCUUUGUGGAGCUAAAGUUAGCAGAAACGUUGCUAACGUUGUCAAUUAUAAGCAGUAGAGUAGGCCAAACUUGCUGCGGUCGUGUUGUUUUUACCUUGAUUUUCGUCCUCACAGUUUCAGAUGAAGAGUAAACCACUCCCCGCUGCAAAGUCUGUCUGAAGGCGGUAUCAACCCGUCGCCACAGAAACAAAUUCAGGAGUAUACGCUAAAGUUUUUUGUUGUAUCUGCGUUUCAGGUGACUGUAAACGGUACUUUUUGAAAACGGGUCAGAGAGUGAAUAAAUCUGUAAACAACGACCAUUUCAUCUCUGGAAACGAUCAUGUGACACACAGAGUAACUCUUUUAUGGCGCCAAAACAACCUUUAUACACAUGCUCUGUACUCUUCUUCUUCAUUUUGUGCACUUCCUGUGCAGCAUUACAGCGCCGAUUACUGGCCUGGCAUAUGAACUACAUUGUUUUCAGUGGUUUGGUUUUGAGAGACGAUAGAAAAACUUAUUUUUAAAGUGAAGUUUGGUAAAGUUGUCACUGAAUAAAACUACUGAGGUUAACAAACUAGCACAUUAUAACUGCGUGCUGAUGAGUACUAACUGUCCAACAGUUGUUUUUCUUUUUUUUUGAAUGAAUAGUAGUUUACAACAUACUAAAUAUAAUGUGAAAAUUAGUUUAACUGAGUGUUACUAUCUUGCAUAGACUGUCCAUUUGUUGUAUCUUUGUCACAGACUUAUUUUUAACAGUUGAAAAUGGUUUUAGUGUGCUUGGCUGAAUGCAGUUAUUAGCAGGUUCAUUAUAUUGUCAUUCUCACUUAUCUUUUGCUUCCUCUGAGUACUUAUCACACAGGACAACUUCCCGGAUGUAUCGUCACCCUUAAACUGGGUAAUUUCAGAUGAAUAUUUCUGGGUUUUCGUCUGUGAAAAUCUCCCACAAACAUAAAUAUAAAACUCCCCCGCUGUUUGCAUCCUUAAAAAAACACUCCUGGGCGUCAUCCUCCAAUCACAGCGCCUGAAAAACAACAAACCAACAAAAUUAAGGAGCAGACCAAAUUACAGGCAGAGCGCUCUUUUAAGAGCUGUUAUGUUGGUGGAUUGCAGUCUAUGACGAGGACCGGCGCUCUCAUCUUACCCCGCGGAUCAUUUGUUGUCUCUUCAUAACUCUUACAGUCGCUGUUGUUCACACCCACCUCCACUCCCACUCCCUUCUUUCGCCCCUCUCACCGGCUCCUCGUUUCCAGCUGUUUGCCACUCCUCACAUGUUUGCAGGAACACAAACCCAGUUCCUGGUGACUAAUCUGAAUAUUCCCCCCUCUCUGAACACUUCUCACUCUGUUCUGUCCAGAGAUAGAAACAGUGCAGGCAGAGGGCACAGCUGCAAACGUUUAACCCUGCUCGCUGGUUUGAUUGUGGUGCUUCAAGUUUUAUUUGCUGCAUUUAGAAAUAAAGAGAAUAUGCAGAACAGGCUCCCUCUCUGCAUGCUUGAAUUUGCAUAGCUUUACAUUUCGCCUGUGGGUGAAGAUAUCCGUUCUUUAUUAACGGAAACUUUGAAUGAAGCAGGAAUUUAUUGUUGUACUUGUGCAGCCAAAUUAAAAUGAUGGUUUCUUUAAAACCUGAGUUCACGGUGACUUCUCGUUGAACUCGGGACAGAAAUAGAAGAAACUGUUAAAUUUAUUUCUGCUGAAGGAGUUUUUUUCGCGCUCUCUGCUCCCCCCCGCUCCGCCGCGUUGGCCCCGGCUGGCAUCUUUAAGGUGCUGAACUGCUGUUCCUCCUGGCCGCCGGUGCCAGGAUAACAUAUGCACGGCCCCAGAAAUCCAAUUGUUGGGAAUCAUGUCAGCUGAGUUGCAGGCCACAGCUUUUGCUCAUGAUUUAUUACCGAAGCGCUGCCACAUUUGCCAAUAGGAAAACACUUUCAGUAGAGUCAUGGGGAUUUACUCUGAUGGAUGAGAAUAAAAAUUGAAUAAUAUUUCUCCUGCGCUCGCCUCUUACUCUCCGCAGCCGUCUGUUAUUUGUGACCAGGAAAAGGAAACCAGCUGUAUUUGACUGAGUUUGUUUGUGUUGAUAUUUGGAGGUUAUUUAUUUGCAUUGUUAUAUCCCAGCGUCCUUUCUGUUUGGAUUUUCUAGGUUUGUCACUUCUUCGUUGGUGUCUGCCCUCGUUUCAGAUCUGGAGCUGCAGGCGUCUCUCUGGUCCAGAUUGUCGAGUCUCCCUCUGUUGUCUAAAGUUUUAUUACGUUCCCAAAACUCAGCUUGUUGUAUCCGUCAGACUCCGUAUCAUCCGUCCGUCUGUGCGGCUGUAUGCAUGACUGAGUGAUGUGGGGUCAUUUGUCGAGCGGUAUCUCUCCUCGCUGUAGAUUAAUAUCAACAGGAGUUACAAGGCAGAAUUCAUCCAGACAAGAGGUGAGGAGUCGGAUUCAGCACCGCUGUCGCUCCUGUUGUCUGUGUUUGUCCGUUUUAUAAUUCUGCAGAAUCAUUCGGAUCAGAACCGUGUCAGCUUCUUGUACGUAGGGCGCCAGAUUUCCAACAGUCUCCUGAAAUGAUAGCUAUCACAGUAUGAUGUAGGGCCGUUCCAACAAGGGGACCUUACUAUUGGAUUCUAUUCGAUUGUGGGAGCUUCGAUUCUUUGAUUAUAAGGUGUCGAUUUUAUUUUAUUGUUGGUGCCACGAUUCUUUGAUUAUUGCCAUUUUUAAAGCUUUUUUCCAGACAAGAUUGAUUUUGACUUUUUAUUUUUUAUUUUUCAAAGACACAAAAUAUUUUAUUUUAUGACUGUAUGACUGUUAUGUAAACAUUUGCACUUUGACCUACGUUGAAGUUUGGAGACAGUCUCCAGGAUGGUCCUCUGUGUGGCAGAACGACCGGAGGAGCCUUCUCUGUUUCAGGAUGAAAGCGUACGAGGCGCUUCCUCAUGUUUGUGGUGUCGCUGAGGUUCUUUAUUUUUGAAAAUCUCGUAGGUCUCAUCAGUCAUCUUGUUUGCUCUCUCAUAAAAUCCAAAGUACUUCCACACGGUUGCAGUCAAACCUGGUGGUGACAGAAUCGGACGCUCUUCGGAGGCUGCUGAAGCUGCUGCCAUUUUAUGAAGAAGCUAACGCGCUCUGUUUGUUGUGGUCCCACUCACUAAACAGUCCUGGCAGCGCACACGUUAAGGUUCCAGUUAUGUGUUUUUUAGUUCCGGUAAAGCAUCGACGUUACUUAAUCGAUGCCGAAUCAUCAAGUGAAGCAUCGCGAUGCAUCGACACAUCAAUGAAUCGCACCGACCUCUGGUAUGAUGUUUCAUGAUACACAACUGUGAGGAACUGUAGUAAGUAAGAGCAAAGGCAGGAUCCCUCUACUUAAAACAGGCGCAGUCAGAAGAGUUUUGUCGAAGUAUUGACACAGUACACAUUCCUGUGAGUAUUCGGUUAUUUCCGACCUUUUUAAUCGUCCCCUUAUUCUGUGUUCAUUCUGGAACUGACCUUAUAUGUUUGGAAAAUGUUCAGUUCAUUUCACUCCUACUUCCAUCCGUUGGCUGUGUUUUGCUCUGUGCUCAUCUAUUACAGCUGUACUGAUUCUAUAACAUGUGCAUCAACGCUGUCACGUUGACAAGGUUGAAAAACAGAAAAAGGACCCGAUUUCAGAAUAAAAGGCGAUUUAAUGAAAAAAUAACAAAAUAAAAAGCAACAAAAACUUACUUAUAAUGAGGAACAGAAACACCAGUAAAAAAAAAACACAAAGAAAAGACACUCAGAAUACCAAAACCAGGUGAACACCAAACACCAGAACAAAGGUCAUGACACAGUGAAUAUUGAUGAUAUCUUGUCGUAUCUGUUUUUGAGCGCAGCCCUACAGUAUGAGACUGACUUCGACUUUAUCUGUGUUCCCUGGGUUUUAUAUUUUGGGGUUCUCUGACUGUUUGUUGGACCAAACAGGAGAAAGCGAGGCCUGUUACUGUGUUUUCUUUUUGCAUUUUAAAGAUGAAGCGAAUAAUCAAUAACAGCUGUGGAAGCAGUUUUAAUUCAGAAACAGCAUUUUGUUGUAAUAGUGAAAAUACGGGUUACAUCCUGAUAGAAAUCAAUGAUUUAUUCUGGCAGCCUGCUUCUUUCCUCCUCUCCAUGUGUUUCCUUUUGUGGAGACGAAAUUAAGUGUUUUGUAAACAGCAGCUUGUUCGGAAUAAACAAACACAGCAUGGCGGCGCUGAUAAACAUCACGAUCGGGAAAAACAAAAAUCACAUCUACAUCUCCGACCGUGAAAAAACGGCUCGAUCCGACCUCAGAGCUGGAUGUCAGGUCAGACUCAGAGUUAAAGAGUAAACCCUCUCCUGCAGGUGGAAGGGUUUUACUGGACCAGGAUUUGGAUCCACCAAACGGACUGUGUGACAGAGAUUUGGACUCUAACCUGAGGAGGACUGAACUGAACUCUAAAGUUUGUAAACUCUUUCGCUAACUUUGUCCAUCUUUGUCAGUUCGUGGACAAAAGAAGAGCGGUUUUGUCUCCCCUCAUCAGGACGGCUCAUAAUGACGAGCAGCUUCGUCGCCCGUGAACGCCGCACGUCUCUCAGAAAUUCAUUUUGUUAUCCCCAAAUUGAGUCUUUGUUGUGAGGGUAAAGACGUCCUUAUCUUUAUUAGGACAGUUCUUCGUUGGGAGAGUGAUUUGAUUUGAUUUGACAGAGAAGUACAAACUCUGUAGAAAGAAGGAAAUGAAUGUCUGAGGCUUCAAUCACCUGCUCCCGUUUUUUUUUCUUUACAGGACAAAUAAAAAAACCCAAACUGUUUCCUCGGGUUCAUGAUUAGCUAACAAAGUUUCAGUUGUUGAUGUUGGUGCAAAUUGCUCGGUCUAUCACAAGUUAUUAAAUCCUCAGACUGUCUUGAAAGUCGUCGCUGUCUAACUCUCUCCCCUGUGCUGAGGAGCGGCGGCAGGCCUCCUAUGGAAAUGUGACAUUUGCUUUGUUUCCAGCCAUCUAAUGAGCCAGUUAACAUUCAGUUGUUCACCCUAAUUGACUCUUACGCUAACCGGAUGGAGGCACAGGACUCCAAAUAAUUACUCUCUUUAUGAGCCCACGUCUAAUGAAUUUAAGUGGCAUAUUUACCAGCCGGCUGCCUCUGGCUGGAGGUGACGCAAUAAAAAGAUGUCGACUCUCAACUUAGUCAAACAGACGUAUGUCCUGAGGGCUUCAAGCUGAUUUAUCCUGGACUUGUUUAAGAAGACUCUGCUUUGUUUUUACCAUUAAUAAUAGUGUAAAAAACGCUUUUUUUGGACUUUAAUCACUCUGGUUCAGUUUUAACAAUAGAAAUAAACAGUAGAGAAGUGGUUAGGUGCCAGAUGUGUUCGGGCUGCUAGAUCGGCUCGGGGUCCAGUCAGGGGUGUCCCGAUAGAACUUUUUUUUAACUUCUGAUAUGAUACUGAUAUUGUAGCCUUUAGUCUUGGCCGAUUCCGAUAGUGGCGCAAACUUACGCAUCACAAGUUUUGCACUCAGCUGCAACAUCUUUUUCAGACUUUAACGAAAAAUACUGCCACACAGCCGACACCACUCCUACUCCUCUGUACUUUGUUACAAUUUAGUACCUAAGUACAUUUUAAAUGCAGGCUGAUAUAAUCUGAUAUUUGUUUAUUGGCUGAUAUCCGGCCAGUAUCUAAUAUCGAUAUUGUAUCUGGGCAGCCCUAGGCUCAGUGCCCGUUGAAGACGUCACACUAUGGCAAGUCCACUCGGACAAACUUUAUUGCGCUCCAUUUAAUAAGUAAAAUGUGCUCGGUUAAAAGCCCUUCGUGGUUUUCUUUAUUUAAAUGAAAAUACUAUAUAAUACAGAUAUUAUAACUAUAAAGUAAAGUGUAUAUAUAAAAUGUAUAAUACAGAUAAUACUUACUGUACUGCACUGUAAUUUUAGAUGGCUUUAAUUGUAGAUGUUAACUUUUUUAAAGAAAAAUGGAAAAAAAUCUACGCAGGAUCUCCACUAUAUAUCAAUAUAGUUUUGCUUUUAUUCCACAUUUCCUUCGGUGACCUAAAAGAGGCGGUAGUCCGGCUGUCGUAAGUGAUGGCUGGAUGGAUGGCUGUUGGCUGAUAUCGGAUAUCGGCCAAAAAGAAAUAUCGGAUUAUAUCAGCCUGCAUCUAAAAUCUCUGAUAUCGGCACUCUGAUACAAGCAGUCCAUCCAGACUCCACUCCGGCACCUCUAGCUAGCAGUAUCCGGAUCCAGCAUGUCGAGCCCACGUGAUCACAACAACAGUGUGUACUAAGGUACCAAAAAAGCAGCAAGGAGUAGGAGGCUACAAUAUCGAUAUCAUAUCGAAAGUAAAAAAGUUGCAUCGGGACACCCCUAAUAAGUAGCGAUAGAUUGCUUCAUAAGAUUCAUCCAUAUUUUUUCCGAAGAACUACAAUCGCAUGAAACCUAAUCUGGCGAAAACCGCUUCUGUAAUGUCUGGACCAAUCACAAUCUUCUACAUCAUUCAAACCAACUUCCAGCCAAUCAUAUAGCUUGACAUCAUCAAUAGGCGCCGGGCCCUGAGGCGAUCUGGCAGCCUGAACACAUCUGGUACCUACACUGGUAAUAUAAUCUCAUCUGGCGAGGACAGCUGAUAGAGUUUUUAUGAGCUUCCAUGGUGAAAAUCAAGCUCUCCACUCAGAGUCGGUAAAACCUUCAAAGGUCAAUCAUAGAAACGCUUUCAAGGCUGAAAUUUUCAGGGGUGAAAAAUAUAAAGAUUAGAAAUCUCAACGACUCCUGAUUGUUUUGAAAGAACGGAGGACAAACGGAUCCUUUUCGGCCUUGAUUGAAACGAGUAUUUUCAGUGAAGACUGUUGUGAGGGCUCUUCAUCGUGGUCAACUUCAUGGUCAUCGUCCGUCUCACAGCUGCACACCAAAGUCCGCCUUAAGUAUGCCUGAGAAAAUCUGAGACAGGGGGACGAGAGCACACAAUAAAAAUAUAUAAACUGGGUGGAGAAUGAAGGUGUUUUUCUCUCAUGAAUAAAUUCAUCAAACUUAAUACCAAACGGAAAUUAAAUUUCAUACAUUUUUCAAAGUCGACACAGAUUUCCUGAUAAUUCAAGUACUUGGUAAAUACAACAGCAAAGUCUGGCUGCUGCUAAUUGUCACACAAUUUGAUUGAAUUUCUUUUCUGAGACAAGAUGUUGAUGUUCACACUGAGAAUAGAUGUAAUCAUAUAGAUCCCUCUCACCGUUUCUCUGCAGGCUGAAAGUUAAGGUGUUUCUCUCCUCUUCUGUUUCUAAUCACAGUUCUGUCUGAGUAUUAACAUGGCUGUUAAAUAAAUAAUCUAUUUACAACAAACAUAAUUGAGCCUUAUCUAAUGGCACAGUUUGCAGUCAGGCUGAGAGGGGGUGGGGUUUGAUGCCUUUGAAUGGCAGUCGCCAUAUUGAGCACGCUGACUUUUGUUUGAUUUGGGAUAUGGAGUCAAGAGGGGCCGACAGCCUCUUCCUUACAGCUGCAGUGUGGUAGUCCAGUCAACUGCGUCCCUCUUUAUGCAAAAUUACCCCCCAUCCGUGGACCCUACAUGAAAGUCGAGGGUCUAAUACCAAUCCUGUAGAGCUGCACGAUUUUGGCCAAAAAUAAAAUCCAGAUUUUUUUCUCUUACAGCUUGAUUUUAGAUUUUUUAUUCAGUGACGACUUCACCAAACUUCACUUUAAUAAGUUUUUCUAUCAUCUCUUAAAAUGAAAACACUGAAAAUGAUGUAGUGCAUAUGCCAAGCCAGUAAGUGGCGCUGUAGUCAUCAUAAUCAAAUAAUCUGAUAACGAUUUAAACUCAGUUAAUUGUGCAGCCCUACAAUCCUGUGGAAAACAUCUGCUCCUGAAUGCUUCAAAUAUCCAUCAACUCGUCCCUGAAUUUAUGUGGCUGGAAAAUUGGUGCUGAGCAGGAGGUGUGUAGUUGGUUUUUAAGGCUUGUGUGGUUCUUGCCAAAGCUUCACGGAGUAAACCAAAAAGGUGAAGCUGUCAGCUUAAAGGCUAAACUAUUCGCUGACACACCUUGAAGCUCCGUGCAGCUGACAGGAGUCACACAUUCAGACGACAAGCUGAAGUGUUUCUUCCUGUGUCGCACUGUUUUUACAUUGUCUCCCCAUAAAUUGUCAUGAAUAGAUUAAGUCGAGCUGCUUUAACUCAAGUUGAACAAGAUUCUGUCAGAGUUUUCAAGUCUACAAUGGUUAGUCUUAAAACAGAACAAACAGAUCAUCUAUGGUUGGAUAGUUUACAUAUUUAAAAAGUUACCAUUGGAAGUUGUUAAACUAGGGGUGAGCGAUCUGACGUUCUUAGAUUGGGAAGAAUUAAAAAGAAAUUCUGAUCUGUCAAAGCACAGGACAGGGAGAUUUUUGAGAUGUUUAGUUGUGACCAAAAAUAAAAAAGAAAGGAAAAAGUUAUAAAAAUUUCUGCUUUAUAUCUGUUGUGUUGUGUACAUUACUUUUGAGUGAUUUUUAUUAUUAUUAUUCAUAAGAGUACCUUUCAUUUUUUUAAACAUUGACAUUUGUUUGUGAAGUCUUGUUUUAGGGUCAAAUUUAUUUGAUAAUGAGAUGAUCCAGUUAAGAUCAAUGUUCGGCUGUUGGAUGUUAAAAUCUGGAUAUUUUGUUUAUUAUUUCUAUUUUUCACUCCACCCCCCAAAAAAUAUCUGGAAAAAAUCAUGAUUGUGAUUUUGCAAAACAAAAAAUAAUUGAUAUGAAGUUUUUUGCAUAUCGCCCACCCUUACAUCAGAUCUUUAUAUCCGGCUGUAGUCCAGAGAGUACAUGUCAUUAAAUCAAUUGAGUGAACUGUCUGUUAACGUCGUUUCAGAGAUCAUUACUGUCGUUUACUCAGUAAUUGUCAAUAAUUGUCAGAACUGUUUUUCCUAACGUGUGAUUUAUGAAGCCUUAAACGCCUCUCUGGUGUUUUUUUGUUUCGGACUGAUGAUCCCCGACGAUGAUCUCAGCAGGUUCGUUUUUAGCUGCUUCAGCUAAAUUGAGCUCAAUGAAACAAUAAAAGAGAUGUGUUGGAGCCACACGGGGGACAGUAUUACCGGUUAUGACUCCGCUGAACUGAGCUGAUGUGAUUACGUGUGGGUAAAAUUGCCAUGUAAUGAACUGAAAACGCAGCUGUUAUUUAUCAUGGCUUUGUUGUCUCUUUGGAAACCUCUUUGAAUAUCUCACCAGAACGAGACGUCUGUAUUAGGACGGAUUAUGGGGACUGUCAGGGUACACAGGGACACAAACCCAUCACCCUUCAGACACACAGUGUUAACAUUUUGUCACUUGGGACAGCAAACGUCUGCUCUGCUGAAGUGUCCUUGAGCAAGACAGAGAUCACGUACCCGCUCAGGGAUGCUGAUUCGCUCCUACGGCUGUUAAAAAGAUGGAUUCAGCUCUGAGGGUCCAUAAAAUACCAGGAGAAGAUACGAGUGUAAAAAGAGAGGAGAAGUUUCAGAGCAUCAGCGAGUUUGUGUCUGUGCGGCAGAAGGGCACGUCGUUCAUAAAUGCAGGAAUAAAAAGUUUGCUCCAGUAACGUCCUUGUGUUUGUGCUUAAGAGGAAAAACUUCAUCUCUGCCCUCGCUGCGCAGCGACGGCAAAAAAGUACAAUCUAUGCAUCAUCUCUCUGAACGUGUCACCUUAAUUAAAAGCUUUGCUAAUUAUAUCAUUUCUCAGGAGUUAAAAAGUCACUCCUUCACUAAAAGCCCGUAUAAUGCCCCUGACGAAAUCAAAAUUCCCUCCUGCGAACAUAAUUAAAACACGACUCUCAGUAAAAACCUACCUGCCUCUGCUCAGGUGAGCCCACGCAGGUCAGAUUUCAGAAAUAUCAGGCGGCUGCAUCUCAGGAUAACCCUGAACACUUGGCAUCGCUGAGCUGGUGGAAUUUUGGAUGAGCUCCCUUAAGCAUAUCAGAGCUUGGCAUUAAGGCUCAGCGGACUAUUGGACGCCGUCGUGCAGCUUAUUUCCCGCCUGCAACAGCGCGGUGAGUGGGACAACAGACAGCAGAUUAUUAUCUGCUCCGAGGGCACAGCAUACUAAUGCCUCCGUCAGUCCUAUCAGGACAAGUUUCCUCCUCUUGGAUGCUUGGUGAUGACUCUCAGAGGUGAACACAGCUCGGCUCCGAUAAAUAAGAGAAGAUGUGAUGAUCGAGGAAUCGAGCAUCUUAGUGAUUCUGGAGAUUGAUAGUUAUCUCAUAAUUUAGCCAUAACAAUGCAGAUUUCUUUGUGAUAAUAAUGAAGGGUAAUCUAAUCUUGUGUCAUUACAGGACUAGAAGGUAGAUAGUCAAGACAGAGUGGGUCAAUGCUAAUUAUAUUAGGGAAAUGAUGCACAGUAAUGAUAAUUCUUGGAUGAAACUGAAAACCAAAAAUGAGGAAACCAAGGCCGAAAAACCGAAACACCGAAAACUGAAAGAAAUGAUUAUGCCAAUUAUCAGUACCAUUGCAUUUAUGUCUGAUUGUUUACUAACCUCCCUAAAAUCAAGGCAUUGCAAAAGCAUAAAUUAAUAUAAAAUUUAUAUUAAUAUUAGAUAUUAAUUCAUGAAAUUGCAACAUGAGUUUUGAGUGUUUGAUUCAGUGUGUUGCUGCAUGUUUCACCUUUAGAUGGCGUUGUGAGUCGGGGCAAAAACAACUCAAACGUUCAAAGAGAAGAAGAGUUGAGCGGUAGAAACACAACUAGAAGAAGUAGCGUUGUUUAAUUUUAAGAAGCCAAGAGCAGGAGCUUUCGUUGUAAUGUUUAUUUUUUAAUAUAAUUUAAUUAAUAACUACUCCACAAGCUGCUCACUACCUACACACAUCCAUUUAUUAUUUUGAAACCAAAUAUACCGACAUGAAGAAAAUGACAUCGGUUAUUGUCGUAAAUUUUUGGUUUAUCGCCCAGCCCUACUCAGAGUAGUGUCUGAUGAUAUUGUAGUACAGGCAUGUUAUACAUUUCCUGAAAGCUUAGAGUCUUUUGAGUAAUCUAGUGUCUGUGUAAUUUGUUCCUGAUGUCCCUGUAAAAGAGAAAUAAGAGAUUUAGGCAAAAAUUGUGGAAUAAUGUAUGUUGCCGCACUGCUUGAGGAGCCAAAGUUACGUCUGUUUUUGUUUGUAUGAUUUACAGUUGGGCUCAAAUGAAAGCCAAGAGGGUCUCCUUUAAAAUGAUACCAAACACAGUUUUAUAAAAACCCUGAACAUGAGCCAAAACUGGAGCACCUUGAGCCGUGUGAAUAUCUGGACCAGCUUUAAAAGGCUUAAAUACUAACAGGAUAAAUAAUCAAACUUUCUCCAGUCUAAUUCACCACAUGAAGACAUUUACAUCUGGCUUUUUGGGGGAAUUUAACAGUGCAGACGAGUCAGCGCCGUCUGGAGCAGCUGAGGUUGUAAAAGUGGUUUUCGGGGGCAUGAGGAGGGCUCGGAGCAUCCUGAAAUACCCGUGGGCAGGAUGUUUUUCCUGCCAAACAGACGGAUGGGUUCAGAGAGCAGGAUUUCAAAAGAACAGAGGUCAGCACCCUGUGAAGAAAUCAUGGAGUCUUUGCUAUUUAUCUCCAACUCUUAUCAACUCCCCGCAGAUAUAUGAAGGCCGUUUGGUGAUACAGAGCGCAGAAAAUCUCACUUAUUGUCCCUGUAAGAGAGAGUGAUGGUCAAAGUAAAGAUCCACUUCCAUUCAGCUGCAGAGGCUAACCUUCUGAGGCAGCCCCGCUUCCUCCCUCACCUAAUUACUCGGAGGAGCUGUCCGGGUCUCUGUGUCAGCGCUGACCUCACACUGAUCCAAUUUGACCCCGGCCCACACGAGGCGCCCUCAGGUGUCACUGCCAGUCAAGAGGAGGUCAAUGAAUCCCACCUUAAUAGUCAUCAGUUCAGACUGUCUCCAAGGGACCAUGAAUAAUCCCCAUCAUUCAUCUCGCAGACAGACUGUAGAAGCACUCAGAGGAUCCCAGCGGCUUAUUGUGCUGCGAAGCUGCUGCGUGUCUGUGUGUGUGUGUGUGUGUGUGUGUCUGUGUGUGUGUGUGUGUGUGUGUGUGUGUGUGUGAGUGUGUGGACCAGCCUGACUGCAGGUGCAGCCUUGUAGCUUUAAACCAAGACGUCCUGCAUCAGGUUCAUUUUCCCCGAGGUGAAGUGUGCGGUCUGGUGCGGCUGAUCGUUAUUGUCUUUAUUGAUUAAUCAAUCGUAAGUGGCCGUGAUUUUACCUCACUGAGUGCUCCCACGGUUAAAAGUGGGCCAAGUGUGUGAAAAACAGAGCGUCUUAUAAAACCAUAUUGACCAUUUAAAAUCAAAACGGUAGAAACGGACACCAAGCGCCGAGACGUUUUCAGCUCAGAGUGCUCUCCAAACACGGUUCCAGCGCGCCUUUUUUCUCCAAGUUCUCCAGAAACCUGGAGGUCAAAAGCAACAGCAGUAAGAGGCCGACUAAAAAGAUUGAUAGCAGUAACUACAGCUCAUGAAAUGCUGAUUCUUCUCAGAGGACCCAACCUGGAGAGGACAAAAUAACUAACAUCAGCCGCUACUUUUAGCUUUCUGUGGAGAAAUAAAAACGACCUGCCUGCUGACUUCUUUUCAUUUUUAAGUGAUUGACAAAAAAGGCUAAUGUAUGUAAUAGAGGUGAGCAUGAAAAAGGGAGAAAGCAUCAGUGUGAAAGGGUGAAAAAAGCUGUUGAACAAGGCGCAGUUUGGGAAACUUUAGAACGAGGAAAAACUGUAGGAGUGAGAGUGGACUUUCAGAGAGUAACUUCAGCAAACUCAAAGAACAGCUGGUUUAAUAAGAAGCAUUUUAUUAUUUAAUGGAUUAAAAUAAUGUGAAUUAUAUUUCACUUCUUUUAGUUUGACUGCUCUCUUUAUUUCUACUUUAUUUUUCUUCUUACAAUUUCAAAUUUCUUUUAAAUUUCUCAUCUUCUUUGUUUGUUUUCCGUCUUUCUUUCUUGUAUUUUUCUUUCAUAUCCUUUAAUUCUAUUUAGCUUUUUCUUUUUUUUUCUAAUUUUCCUUCGUCCUUCUUUUUUCUUUCUCUUUUUUUUCUUUUAUUGUAUCCUGUCUUAAAAUGUUUUUCCUUAUUUUCUUGUUUUUGGGUUUUAACUUCUUUCUUUUUUAAUUUACUCUUCUUACAUUUUUUUUAAAUUUAAGUCCUCAUCGUCCUUCUUUGUUUUUUUUCUUUCUGUCUUUUAUUUUUCUUUCUUAUCCUCUUUUUAAUUAUAUUUACAUUGUUUCCUUUUUUCCUUUUAUUUUUCUCCUUUCCUUUUUUCUGUUUCCCUUCUUUCUUUCUCUCUUUUUUUCAAAUUUUUUUGCGUCCUUUCCUUAUAUUUUUUUCUUUUUCCUUAUUUUUCUUGUUUGUUUGGUCUUAAUUUAUUCUCUCUUUAAUUUAUUAUUCAUCCUACAUUUUUAGUUUUUUUUAAAUUCUCAUUUUCUUUCUUUGUUUUUUCCUUUUUUUUCUUAUCUUUUACUUUCAUAUCCUCUUUGUAAUUCCAUUAAUGUUUUCUUUAUCCUUAUUUUUCUUUUUUCUUUUUCUCCUUUUCUUUCUUUCUUUCUUUCUUUCUUUCUUUCUUUCUUUCUUUCUUUCUUUCUUUCUUUCUUUCUUUCUUUCUUUCUUUCUUUCUUUCUUUCUUUCUGUCAGUCUUUCUUUCUUCCUUACAUCUUCCAGGCUUUCUUUUAGGUUAAUCUUUUAUCAUAUUUAGCUACUUUCUUUUUUUUAAACUUCUCCUUUCUUUUAUUUUUUCUUUAUUUCUAAUUUCAUCUUAGGUUUUUUGUGUGUGUUUUUUCUCAGACUUGUUUUUUCCAUUAGUUACCCCUCAGGCCCUCCUUUCCAAAAUAACUGCAGAAAAACUGAAAGAUCAAAAAAUGUACCUCGGAGAGCCUCAGGGUUAAAAUAAAUUUAUUUUUCUCUCUGUCUGUUUUGUAUCUUCGAUGUUAAAUACACCUUUACCUCUUCCUGCUGCUCUCAAGUCUGCUCCUCAUCUCCGUACGCUGAAGACCUAAAACAGAGAUGAGUGUUUUUGCCACAGUGUCAACAGGCUGACACUGAGAAAUGUGCCGGACUCUUUUUCUCUCUUCUUUGGAGGUUUUGACCAAUCAGAGUUGAGUUUCUAACACAGCUGGAGGAUAAUAAAUAUUCAUCUAAAACAGAGAAAAGAACUGAAUGUUUGUUUUGAGAGGCUGGGAACUGAACGCUUUGGGGUUUUACUCUUUUUAUCGUCGGUAUGAGCUGAAUUUCCUCUCAUCUUAUUUUCCAGGUGAUAUUUUUUUGUAAAAGCUUCUUAUAUUUGACAGCUGUGCUUGUUUUUUAGUUUGUGAUUGUGAAGUUUCAUGGCUCUAAUAUGAUGAAAUCAUGUUUAUUUCGCAGGGCGCUGUGUGUUUGUGCCUUUUUCAUCAUCAGUCAUAAAACUGAACUUUGGUCUUUCAGAUCUGUGCUCUGGGACUAAUGAUGCUUGUUUGGCCCUUGACUUCCAAACUCUUAGAAAACCUCUGCAGUGAACUAACACUCUCAAAAGUUAAAAACUCAAGAUUAAAUAAAAUAAAACAGCGAGAUAACCCGUGGUAUGAGGCGCAGUGUUUUUGGGUCAUUUUCCUUUGAACCAAAAACACUUUGAAGAACAAGAAAACAUUCAAAGAUCUUGUGAAUAGAAGUUCAAUACCGAAGACUUGGCGGUUUAAGGAUGCGAGUUCGCAUCGCCCUGAGAAGUGUGUCUGUGAUUGCCUGCUGAAUGUUAUGAGUCUAAAGGAGGAUAUGUUUGAACCCUGGUCUGACCUGCUCUUCACGCCCGUGUGUCUCUCCUGCUGCAGUCCAAGUACUUUCCCGUGAAAGGUGUGCUUCUCUUAAGACUACUUUACAUGGGUUUAAUGAAUAAUCAAGGACUGCAGGGUGAUUUCUUCUGUGGCCCUCAGAGCCACCUCACAGAUCCGGCUUCGUCCUGAAUGUAUAAUCAGGAACAUGUGAGGGUUUGAUAGUAUCAGAGAUCUGAGCGACCUUUUCUGACUCCGUUCACUUCCUCCAUCUCUGAGCUGUUGUCUGCUUUAAUCUGAGAAACGUUAAAUUUAGAUGUAUGUUCCUCUCUGUUUGAUUCUCACAUCCUGACUUGAGUGUCUUUGUUAUUGCGCCGCAGCGUACCGGUGAUUAAUGACUCCACUUCAGACGGUUAUUGUCCUGUAUGGGCUGAAUCAUCACGGUUGAAUGCAGACAUGCUGAUCUAACAUUCGCUCAGACAUGCGAGCUUUCUUUAAGUGUCUCAAACUGUGCGUUUGUAAAUACAUUCAGAUCGAGGGUUAGGCCAGAGUUCCUUUAGAUUUGACGUAUGAGCAGUACUCGACAUUUUCAAUACGAUGACUUUUAAUGUUAAAGUUUCUCUUUGAAUAAACAAGCUCCUAAGUGUCUCCAACCACUUUUCAGUUUAUUCAGAGACCUGAAAAAAGAAACCUUUUACAUUUGAACGAGGAGAAACGACGGCACAAAAUGUGAAAUGUAACAAAGUGUGAUGGGAAAACACUCAGCGAAUAAAUCAUGACGUAGGUGAAGAGUUGACCUAAAUGUUCAGUGAAGCUUCUCCAGAAGAGACGAGGAACAGAGGCAGAGGAAAACAUCAGGUUUUUUAUUUUCUGGCUCAGGCUUCAUGAGGAAAAUCAGUUUAUUUUGUUCUACUCUGGAUUGAUAACCGAGAGCUGUGUCACAUCCUACCAACCUGGACUCCCACCUUCAGAUUAGGGCUGCACGAUUUCGGCCAAAAAUAAAAUCCUGAUUUUUUUUUUUCUCUGAAAACUUGAUUUUUGAUUUCUAUUUCUUAUUCAGUGACAACUUCACCAAACUUCACUUUAAUAAUAAGAACUUUUUCGUUCAUCUCUCACAAUGAAACCGCUGAGAAUGAUGUAGUGCAUACGUCAAGCCAGUGAGUGGCGCUGUAACACUGAAGAAGAGUACAGAGCACGUACCAAUUCCACACGACUGACUAACUCUUGUCCUAUUUAACCACGAAAUUAUCGCCUUCUUUUGCAAACACCAUGUUUGUUCACACUGGUGUGUGAGGGAACUGUGGAGCCUACGGUGGCCUGGAGGCGUGAGACAUGAUAGAGAGGAAAAAAUGAUUUGACGAUUAAAAUUUUUUAACAUCCUUGUUACGACUGCGGCUCGGGGCAGAUACCUGUGUUACCUUUUACCAUGUUUAGUUGUGUCCGUGUCCGUGUCUGCGAGUGGAUGUGACUCUACAGGAACAGCUGCGGAUUGGAUGAUCAGCCUGGUCGGCAGGACCAAUCGGAGGGGAGUUAACUGUUGAAGAGGCUGCCGAUUGGAGUGCUCAGGGGCAGACACUCGUGUUCGUUCUGUAGACACUUUGUUAGGGAGAUCUGUGUGUGUUAACUGCUGUGGAGGUGACAUUGUGUAUUUCUUUUAUUGUCUUGUAAAGAGUUAGGAUGCUGCUCACACUUCGAUUGUUUAAACUGCUAGUUGAGUUAAUUUGUGGUUUUGGUUUCUUCACUCUAGUUUAAAGUCGCCUUUUGUUGCAUUUGUUUGUUUCGUUGAGCAGUACCCAAUAUACCUCUGUUUUUCGCCUCAAACUAUUUUGCAAUUAAACAACCUUUUUUACAACAACUAAAUCUGGGUUUUAUGUUACGUUCUUUCCCUUCUGGGUUGUAACAAUCGUCAUAAUCAAAUAAUCCGAUUACCAUUUAAAAUCGAUCUAUCAUGCAGCCCUACUUAUAAUGAUCCAGGCUCUGUCAAAGCAAACCCCACAUGAUAAUAUAGUUAUGACCUCCUCUACCAUCAGGCCUUCGGUGUCCCUCAGGUCUCAGCCAGGAGGCGAUGAGAUCCAGAACAUCAACAGGCUGGUCAAGUGGUCACUUCCUCAUCCUGGUGUUUCCUCAAGUGAGGCCCACCACAUCUGAAGGAGGCUCAACAGUUCGCUCCGGCAUCCCCAAACCACCUCUCCAUGCCGAGCUCUCACGGGUCAUCGUACCAUGAAGAGGAAGUAGAGAAGGAGGGGAGUGUUUGAAAGAAGAUGAGAAACUUUCCACCAAUCAGCUGUAGAAGUUUAGACACCAGUAUUUGUGGUGGUGAAAGACCAAGAGACAGACGAGACGACGUGAAGAUGGUGCGACGGUGUUUAUGGCGGGUUCUGGUCGAGACUGAAGGGUUGAGUCUCACAGAGAGAGGACACACACGGGGGAAAACCGCUCUGCUCUGUUACGUAUGAUCACAAAUAUCCUCUUUAGGAAGUUCCUGUAGGUUUGGGUCCUCAGAGGCUGUCCUGUGACCCGGUUUCGAUUACACUCGUCUCCUCAGAUCGACGCGCUCCUCCUCAAAACACUGGGCUCAUGUGUCUGAGUCUGACCUCUAUCUCUACAACCCAUCGCACAUGUGCAGUAGUGUCCAACAGUCCGUGUCAAGUGAUGUGAGGCUUUGUGGCGGCUGCGGUUGUGUGUUGAGCUUAGUGUGACCCUCAGACCUCUAUGAAUGUGAUUAGUGCGGACACGGCAGAGCGGCGGCGGCGCUGGGAUGAUGUUGUGUUGGAGUGCCGCUCUCGAUGACGCUCUUGUUUCCAAACGCAACGCUGUACUCGAGUGAAAGAGGUCAUCCGAGCUCCACGAGAGGACCAGACGAGUGAUGUUUGAUCUGUUUCCUUUAAAAAACCGACAGGUAAUGUUCAGGUUUUUUAUUUUUUACCUGGAGUUUGUUAAAGAAACGAGUGAAACUGUAAAAGUUUCAACCAAAGAGUUGUGUAAGUUUUAUGUAAGUGGUACACCCAUCGACAUUCAAUUUAAGUCUUUUUAAAGCUUCAUAAAGGAAAGUGUAAAAACA
rnacentral:lncRNA from 1 species